UACGUAGGGGGCAAGCGUUGUCCGGAGUUACUGGGCGUAAAGCGCACGCAGGCGGUCUCUUAAGUUUGGAGUGACAGUUGGUGGCUUAACUGCCAAAGUGCUUCGAAAACUGAGAGACUUGAGGGCUUCAGAGGGACACGGAAUUCCGGGUGGAGUGGUGAAAUUCGUAGAUAUUCGCAAGAACACCAGUGGCGAAGGCGGCUCACUGGCCCGAUACUGACGCUGAGGCACGAAAGCGUGGGGAGCAAACAGG
rnacentral:rRNA from 1 species